AACAAAAUAGGGAUGAAAACGAAUUAAACAAAAACAAUUUUAUAUAUGUAUAAGUGCUUGGGCGGUUUACCCGUUUUUUCUCUUUUCCUCUUUCCCUUUCA
rnacentral:ribozyme from 1 species